rnacentral:RNase_P_RNA from 1 species
GGAGCGGUCCGGGUGAACGCCGGCCAUCGCAGGCAUGGAUGGCGGGAGGAAAGUCCGGGCUCCACAGGGCAGGGUGCUGGCUAACGGCCAGUCGAGGCGACUCGCAGGAAAGCAAGGGGGCGGGUAAGGGUGAAACGGUGCGGUAAGAGCGCACCGCGUCCGGGGUGACUCGGACGGCUCGGUAAACCCCACCUGGAGCAAGAGCCAAUAGGAACGCGUCCUCGCAAGAGGACAGGGAUGGCCCGUCCUACGCGUUCGGGUUGCUCGCUGAUGAGGUCCCUGGGCAACCAGGGCCCUAGAUGAAUGUUCAUCGCCCAUCCCGAAAGGGGUGGGGACAGAACCCGGCUUACAGGGCCGCUCCGGUU